UGGUGACUAUAGCAAGGAGGUCACACCUGUUCCCAUGCCGAACACAGAAGUUAAGCUCCUUAGCGUCGAUGGUAGUCGAAGUUGCCAGGCAGUUUUAAAUCGGAGAAUUAGCUCAGCUGGGAGAGCAUCUGCCUUACAAGC
rnacentral:rRNA from 1 species